ACGAUUCGUGGGUCAUUCCCAGGCCUCUCGUUGCGCCACGUCAUCUGAAAAAAAAUCGGCCGUCCGAUCGGGCCAUCCAACGGCCAGGGAACAGCCUCCGCCGCCGCAGCGCUCCGCCGCCGGCCGAGCCCUACCGCAUGCGCGCGUGCCCUGCCGCGUGCGCGCGCGCCCCUGCUGCCGUUCGCCCGCCGCCGGCCCGAGGUCCGGCCGCCUGGUCGCGGCUCGCUCGCGCCAUAUCCGACCGGCGCGCGGAGCUAUGGCGGCCGGCGGCGUGUGCUUAUCCCCUUCGUCACGGCUUUGCCGGCGCCCGAAGCUGCUGCUGCUGCCGCCGUCUGCGUGGCCACCGCGCGCGGAUCCGGCGGCCACCGCCCUCCUCCGCACGGAUCCGGCCGCCACCGCCCUCCGCGCUGUGCAGGCACGUGCGCUGCUCGAUCCGCCGGCCUGGAGCACGGAGCACGGGUGGAGGGAGCACGAAGCAGGGGCCUGACGCCCUCACCCGCGGGCCGACCGCCGGCCGCUGCCCUUCCCUCCCGCAGCCGCCACACACUCCCUCCGCGGCUCUUCCACUCCCCUCUCCCGCAACCGCGCAGCUUGGCCGAGAGCCUGUUAGUCCCUUCGUCGAUGCCGCCAGCAAAGUUCGCGAUAUAUCCAUUCAGCGCAGCCGCCUCCGCUUCCAGACUUCUCCGGUCACCCACUUCCACUCCCAGCUCCUCCUCUCCAUCCAAAUCGUCGCCGCCGCUCGCGGCCGCGGCCACCGCGCGCUGCUACUCCUGCUGCAAGUCGCGUCUCGCGGGCCAGAGCACUUCGGCGAACCACCGCAUUGCUGGCCACGCCGCGUGCUCUGGAGCCGUGCAUUCCGCCGCCGGCGCCAUCACCCCCAAAAAUCCUGCUGGCUCUCCACCUACUAAACCUGCACAACCUGUCUAAAUCCCAACGAGAUUCAUGCUUCUCGACUAACUAGAAGACAAAUCGAGGAGUUGGAGCGACUACUUUAGGAGCCUGCAGCUCGUUUAGGAGCAAGGCCUCAUUCACCGCUUCGCAAUCCACGCCGACGAGGAGCGCUCAUGAGCUAUCGGAGGAGAACUGGAGAAGAGAGCUCAGCAGUGCCACAAACAGCUCCAGCCGCGUGCUCAAGAUCGGCCAGGGCGAGUUCGGCUCCUCCGUCCUGCCAGCGGCUGCCGCGUCAUCCUCACCGUCAAGCUCCUCAACCAGCACAUUAUGAAGGGUGAUAAUCUCUUCGUGGAUUUGCCAUGACGGAGACAAGGUUCCCUCCCGCAAGCACAGAUUUUGCUAAUGGCAGAGUCCCGCUGCCAGGGACAGGGCCUUCUAUGUGAACAUGAGCAUAACCAUGAACAUCAGGAUUUUAGCUCAUCAUGGGACAUCCGCGCAACCCCGAUGUUCUUCCUCAAGAACGGGCAGCAAAUCGGCAAGCUCGUUGGUGCAAACAAGCAUGAGCUCGAAAAAGAAAGUGCAAGCAGCCGCUGAUGGCGCAUCGGCCAAGUCCUAAAAAGUUAUCAACCUAAGUACGUUCUUUUUCCAUUUAUCAAAUAAAGUUUCAUAUAAUCUAAUCAAACGGUACAAUACAGGUCUCGCGCAGCAAGGCUGCGCGGCCUUUCUAGUCU